CCUACGGGUGGCUGCAGUCGAGAAUCUUUCACAAUGGGGGCAACCCUGAUGGAGCGACGCCGCGUGGAGGAUAAGGUCUUCGGAUUGUAAACUCCUGUCAUGCGAGAACAAGGUUGCAGGGCUAACACCUUUGCAAAUUGAUGGUACCGCAAGAGGAAGAGACGGCUAACUCUGUGCCAGCAGCCGCGGUAAUACAGAGGUCUCAUCAGUUGUUGGGAAGCGCUGGGAGUUGACGGUGCGUAGGUGGUGUGAAAGCCCGGGGCUCAACCUCGGAAUUGCAUCCGAUACUGCCAUGCUGGAGUACUGAAGAGGUGACUAGAAUUCUAGGUGUAGCAGUGAAAUGCGUAGAUAUCUAGAGGAAUACCAACGGCGAAGGCAGGUCACUGGGCAGUUACUGACACUGAGGCACGAAGGCCAGGGGAGCAAACGGGAUUAGAUACCCGUGUAGUC
rnacentral:rRNA from 1 species